UCCUCUGCAGUAUCCUAUUCAGGGUUAUGUAGUAUAUCCUCUGACACCUUCUCUCACACCAGGUGUUAUUAAGUGUGUCUAAAGGCAUCCUGACAAUAGACAUUUCACAUCAAGAGGCAGUGGUCAAAGAAUCAUAAAAGUCUGUUUUAGGUCGUAAAGUAGCAGAGCAGCCAAAGGUUCGCCAUCGAGCCCCGCCCUCAACAGAGCAAUCGAAGUUACAUUGCCCAGCCUCGCCCCCCUUAGCGCCUCCUUACCACCUUCAUGCUCUGUCUCCGCAGUCUGAUGUGUGAUGUGUGGAGGGUCCGGGCUGCGAGGAUUAUGACAGUGGUGACUUUUCCCAGGAGAAGCUGGGAUCCUGUUUACUAGAAGGUUUUAAAAUUUCUGUACUUUUAGGUGACAGAAGGAGACAUGUGGCCUGGUCAAAACACAGAGAGCUGAACUCUAAAAGAUCUUUAAAUAUAGUA